GCUAACUCCGUGCCAGCAGCCGCGGUAAUACGGAGGGUGCAAGCGUUAUCCGGAUUCACUGGGUUUAAAGGGUGCGUAGGCGGGUAUGUAAGUCCGUGGUGAAAUCUCCGAGCUUAACUCGGAAACUGCCAUGGGUACUGCGUAUCUUGAAUGUUGUGGAGGUGAGCGGAAUAUGUCAUGUAGCGGUGAAAUGCUUAGAUAUGACAUAGAACACCAAUUGCGAAGGCAGCUCACUACACAAAUAUUGACGCUGAGGCACGAAAGCGUGGGGAUCAAACAGGAUUAGAUACCCUGGUAGUC
rnacentral:rRNA from 1 species